AGGGUUUCAUCCAGGUACUCCGGUUUCCUCCUCACAUGCAGCUUAAAUGCUCCAUGGUGCUGCCAUCUGUAAAUGAGCUCCUUGUCUGGUCUUUCUUCGAGUUCUGAAUUAAGCUGAUGAGGAACGGGGAACGUGGAGCAAGCCUGGCCAUGCAGGAAGUCUUAUAACGCACAAUGGCAGUAACACAGAAUCUCCCAGCACAAUGGAGACAUUCUAAUUCCCAAUAAGGACAUGGGGACUACAACGGAGGAACAGACACAAGAGAAAGGUCAAAAAAAUAGCAGAUCUCGUGCCAUGAUCCACGGCUUCCAGUGUAAAGAAAUUGUCUUUUUUUCCCUUUGCCAUUAAUUCAAUUACAACUAUUUAUGUCGUCUUUAUGCGGUGAAAAUGGCACGAUAUUAAUAAA